rnacentral:rRNA from 1 species
GACGAACGCUGGCGGCGUGCUUAACACAUGCAAGUCGAACGGAAAGGCCCUGCUUUUGUGGGGUGCUCGAGUGGCGAACGGGUGAGUAACACGUGAGUAACCUGCCCUUGACUUUGGGAUAACUUCAGGAAACUGGGGCUAAUACCGGAUAGGAGCUCCUGCUGCAUGGUGGGGGUUGGAAAGUUUCGGCGGUUGGGGAUGGACUCGCGACUUAUCAGCUUGUUGGUGGGGUAGUGGCUUACCAAGGCUUUGACGGGUAGCCGGCCUGAGAGGGUGACCGGCCACAUUGGGACUGAGAUACGGCCCAGACUCCUACGGGAGGCAGCAGUGGGGAAUAUUGCACAAUGGGCGGAAGCCUGAUGCAGCAACGCCGCGUGCGGGAUGACGGCCUUCGGGUUGUAAACCGCUUUCGCCUGUGACGAAGCGUGAGUGGCGGUAAUGGGUAAAGAAGCACCGGCUAACUACGUG